UAGUAGAGACAGGGUUUCACCAUGUUGGCCAGGCUGGUCUUGAACUCCUGACCUCAGGUGAUCCACCCACCUUGGCCUCCCAAAGUGCUGGGAUUACAGGUGUGAGCCACUGCACCUUGCCCAUUAUACAUUCUUUCUAUUCUCAGUUUUUCUCUUUAAUAUUUUAGAGUCAGAGACUAAUGACUCCCGCAUCAACACCCCAAUUAAAUAGACUUUUCCCCGUUUAUCACCUUUCCUUUAAUUUCCUCAUUCAAAGCAUGAUUCAGUCGUCCUCUCCUCUUGCUGCUUAAACCUCUCACCAGCUCUCAGUCAGUGCUCCCAGAUGCAGCUUUCAUUGCAUGUGAUGUUGUUUAAUUUCACUUGUCUUAUGUAUAAUCACAUCAAGCCAUUUAUUUGUUAAUAGGCCGUUUGGUGGCUUCACAGUUGGAAUUACUGUACAUCACAUUUCAUUUCCACAAGGACAUCCUUUAUGCCAGUCUGCCUUAUGCGGCAUUCGUCUUUUCCUCCUGCCAGGCUGGGCCAGCUUCUCCCGCUGUAUCUCCCAAAUCAGCUGUUCAUUUUCCCCCUGCUGCUGUCACUGAUAAUUUCCAGGUUAAAUCUUAUAAGCGGAAAUUGGAUCCACAGCUGGAGUUGAAACACAGCUCCUUGGAGUUAUUACCACAGUCUGUUCCCAGGUAGAUGGAAGAGUUGAAGAUGAUAGAUUUCCAGCGCCUAGGAAUAACAAUGCCGUCCCUCUAACCACAACUACGGUGGCAUUACUUUCCUCUGGGGAGAGCAAUAUUUUUACCUUUUCACUCUGAGUUUAUAUCAGGGGGAUUCAAGAGAGGCAAGUGGUUUUUCAGUAGUUUUCUGUUAUUUUAUGAGAGAUGAGUUAAAGUGAUAAUGUAGGAUGGACAGCAAAUAAGUUAUAAGUGAUUGACCAGCCUUUUAGGCUGUCAGCUAUCUGAAAUAGAGGGUUUCUUUAUUUUUUUUUUCCACAGUAGAAACAUUUGAUUUAUUUGAUUCAAACAGUAGAAGUAUGGAAGGAUCAAAUAAAUAGGUUGGUUUGAGAAAAAAAUAUAUUUUAGAAUUUCGUGGUUUCAAAGUCUAUGCCAUAACCUUUGAAUUAUUCAGCAAUAAUUAAUUCAACAGCUAUUUACUAAGCAGCUUCCACUGUUUCAGGAUUGGAAAUAUCAGCGCAAUAGAACACACAAGAUUCCAUCUUUUUGAAGCUGGCCUUCUAGUGGGCAAGACUGAUAAUAACAAGACAACAGAUACAUAAGAUGAUUUCUAGUGUACUAGGAAGAAAAGGAAACAGGAAAAUGUGAGACCAUCUUGGGUUAGAUGGUCAGGAACAACUUCCCAUAGGAGAGGUGAUAUUAGUGAAUCCACAAUUGCUAAAGGAGAUUUGAGUAAUUAAAAGGGGUCUGGGUUGAUCUUUAUCUCUAUUUCUUUUCUCUCCAUCCCAUUCUUUCCUCUCUGACCCACCACAACCCCCAGUAACCAUCCUGAGGUCAGAAAUCUCAAGAUAUCUUAAGGAGCGUUCUCCUUAAGAUGUCAACAACAUCCACUGAGGACUGAAUAGAAGAUGCCAGCACUUGGCUCAGGUGCAGGGGAUGGCAAGAACUGAGCUCUGGGCUGUGAGGAGCUCUGGUUCUGGUCUGGCCCCAUCACUGGGGCUGUGUCACCUUGGGCAGCUCUCACCCCCUUUCUGGGCCUUAGUCUUCAUUUUCAUUUGUGAAGUCAGUUUGAUCAGAUGAUGUAUGAAAUUUCAGAGUUGUAUAGAAGGUAACCUACCUGUUACCUUAAACAAACAGUCUACAUGGGAGGAAAAGGUAGCAAUAGUUGACUUGAGGUUGUGAGGGAUCAAAGUGAGGCUCUCAGUGCCACCCCAGACCGCUCAACUUUGUCACACUGAAUCUGACCUGGAAGGUACAUGUAGGGACAGUCUCUUAUAGAGAACACACUAUCUAAUAAGUGGAGACAUGACAUGUCCUCAAAACAUCUCCCUUAUUGCCCAUUCCAGGUUUUAACAUCUGCCCCUUCCAAUUACUUUGACUCUUCAAAGGUUUUCAGUGCACCUUAAAUGGGUUGUACAUCUUCUGUCCCCUUGGAUACGGCAACAUUCAUGGACAUUUGCUUUUCUGAUUCAUCCCUUUGCUACCACCCUCAACUCAAAGCAUUAUAGGUAGGAAAAUGGACUCAAAGAUAUAUAGGUUAAUAAAGAGAAGAGGGGAAGAGCCCGGAGCACAAGCAGUGUCCACGGGCUGCUGGUCCCAGCCAGUGAGUGAGCAUACAUGAGCAACCUGGGCAUUGAGGUUGGGAGAAUGCUCAAAAAAAAAAAAAAAAAAAAAAAGUGCCAAAGUCAAUUUAAGCCAUGUUAUCCUAUUUCCUGGGAUUGGUCCUGGGUACUGAACAGAGGCUCUCAGCCAAAACCCCUACCUCACCCAGAGCACAGUAUAGACUGUAGACACUGUCGUGUGCACACUCAGAAUACAACAGCGAUGUGUUUCUGUGUGCAGCCCUGGACUGUGUGAAGUGGCUCCUCCUGGACAUGUCAACUCUCCUUGCUUGUGGCAGGACAUCAAAAUUGGUCAGACUGAAAGUGUCUGCUGAGCUGCUACCAUAUGCCAAGCAGUAUUUUCAGCAACAGGGACUCAGCAGUGAGCAAAACUGGCACAGAUCUCCAUCUUCAAGGGUCUUAGAUUGUAGUGGGGAAGACAGGAAAAAAUAGGCAUAUAAAGAAAAGCAAAUCAAUGCAUUUCAGUUGCUGAUGAAGAAUAUAAUGUGGAUAAGAAAUAACUGCAUGGGUAUUUGUGUUGCUUUACCCUGCAUGAUUGGGGAAGGUCUGAGGGAUAGAUAUUUGAGUUCAUUCGUUCAACAGAGGUAAUUAAGUACCUUCUAUACUCAGGCCCUUUUCUAGGCAGAAAGGAUUCAUUAAUGAAUAAACCAAAGAGCCCUAUACUCAGGGAGCCUUCUUUCAGCAAGAAGAGACAAAGAAAAAAUAUUUAAAGUGUAUUUUUUUACAAUAGGUAUAAUAAACUUCAUAAAUAUUUAAUGAAUUAUAAUUGAUAUAUAGGUACAAUAAUCAUUCUUAUUGCUUUAUUGAGCAAUGAACAUCAUAUAUAAGUGUGGUUGUAACCCAAAUACUAAGAUGGUGGAGCCACUUAAAGAUUUAGAUAAAGCGCUUCCCAAGAAGAAGGGUUGAGACAGCAGUGAGCAUGGUAUCCUCAAGGCACAAGUAACAUCCUAUGUGAUGGAACAUUUGUGCCAGGGAGGCAUGGAUGGGGAGAUAAGUGGUUGGAGAGAGAGACGAGAACCAGAUCAUCAAGUCUGGAUUUCAUCCAAGUUUCAAGGGAAAAGCAUGGGAAAGUUUUGAGGAGAGGGCAGAAGGAAGUGGAGAGAUCUGAUUUAAGGUUUAGAAAAUUCUCUCUGGCAGCUGGUGGAGCAACGACUUAGGGACAAGAAGGGCAGCAGGGAGAUGGGUUUGGGAGCUGUUGCAGAGGUCUAGAAGAGAGAUGGUGGUGGCUUGAACUAGGGCUGUAGCUGGAAAAAUGGUGAUACAUAGAUGAUACAUAGAUAUAUAGAAAUAUAGGCAAAUAAUAGAUGAUAGAUGAAUAGAUCGAUAAUAGAGAAAUAGGUAGACAGAUAAAUGUAGACCUGAUAGGGUAACUACUAAAUUGGUUGUAGGAUGGGAAGGAAAAGGAGAAAUCAAGGUUUUUCCCUAGGUUUGACCUGAAGAGUUGGGUGAAUAUUGGGGCCAUUUAUAGAGAGAAGGAAGGCUUUGUGGGUGGUGAAGAGGGAAUUUGGAGGAGACAAGUAAAUAGCUCAGUGUCAGCCUUUUAUAGUUUGACUUUAUACAGUAUGCAAAUGAGGAUGUGAAGUAAAUAGAUGUGAGACUACAGUUUUGAGGAGUGGGACUGGUAUUUGGAACACAUCAGUGGUGAAAUGGCAUUGAAGCUAGGGGGAGGAGAAGAGCAACUAAAGAAAGUAUAUACAUAGAGAAGAGGUUUGAAGACUGAGUUCUGGGACAUUUUCAGAUUUGGAGGUCUAAUAGAUGAUGGAGUCCCAGCAAAGGAGGGCAAGAAAGAGUGGAUUUUGACAGAUGAGGAAAACUGAGUGUAGCAUAGUAAAAUUUUGGAUUCACGGGAAAUGUUGCCGAAAGGGUAAGAUGACAGAGAAUUAAACAUUUUCCUUGAGAAGGGCUAUAGUCACCGAUGACCUUUAAAGAGUGUGGUGGAGGACAAAAACCGACUGGAGUGGGCUGAGGAGAAAAAAUAGAAAUUAGGGAGUGUCAACAGAUAGCAAAGACAGCUUUUUUUUUUUUUAAGAAUUUUCUUAGAAGUAGAGAAAAUAACUAUUUGUUGGAUCUUUAGUUGGAGUCAAGUGUUAAAAUAAAUUCUAGAACAAUAUGUGAUCAUAAAAAGGUGAGAAACGUGUAGAUGAAUGCUGUGGCUUCUUUUUUCUCUCUAGUACUAGUCCCUAGUUGGUCUGCAAUGAACUUUUGCAAGAAGGAGAAUGAGGAAGGCUCUUUUUAAGGCUGAUAGGCUGUAGCUCUCAUGGUGUGUCUUUAACUCACAGGUAGUGAGCAAGCCAUUUGCUCUCAGGGAAAAUGUGGCUUUCCUGACAGCCCCAGAUGCUCCAUCCGUCUCUGCAUCCUACAGAGUAGGAAGUAGGUGGGGCAUAUUAGAAACAAAGCACUUAAUAAAAUGUAAUAAUCGUGACUCGGGACAUAGAAGAGGCAUUCUGAAAGAGAAGUGGAGACCAACACAGACAUCUUUCCACAUAAAUGGCUUCAGAAAGCGGCAGACUCAGAGUGGAUUCGUUCAUGCGAUCCUCACCUCUCCUCCUAGUUAACAAGUUGGUAAGAUGAGGAUAGUGAAUCUGGGAUGUCUCUGAGAUGCUGCUGGUCUAACAAGCUCCCAGAUGAUUCCUAUCCAUGAGCCCCACUCUGGGUCAGUGCAUGCCAGGGAUGACAAAGGCAGGCUAACUGUCCUUAUAAGAGACAAAAGAGGAGAAGACACACAGAGGAGAAGGUCACAUGAUGCUGGAGGCAGAAAUGACAGUGAUGCAGCCGUAGCCCCGGAAGCCUCCAGACCUGGAAGAGGCAAGGGAUGGAAUUUUCCUGGAGCCUCUGGAGGAGGAUGACCCUGUGGAAACCUUGAUUUUGGACUUCUAUCCUCCAGAAUUGUGACAGAAUAAAUUUCCAUUUUUUUAAAAGUCACCCAGUUUGUGGUAAUUUGUUAUAGCAAACCCUAGAAAAAGAAUAUACUAUGCAUCAGCUUGGGGUUGGGAGGUGGGGCACAGAAAAAGAAAAGUUCCUAGGCCCUCCUAAAAGUCAUUUUGUUUAACACUGGAUCCAUGCAUUUGGCAUGCCCUCCAAAGGCGACUUCUGCAGACAAGUUCUCGGCAUCCUUCAAGAAGACAGAGCCUUUCUUUGCUCCUACCCUAACCUUGAAUCAAAUACAGCUUGGUGGGGCCUGAAGCUAGAGGAAUUCUCAGUAGCUAGGCUGGUGGAGAGCUAUCUAUUUGUGUAUAGGGUUGCAGCCAAAGUCUUUAAACUAAAACUAAAACCCUGUGUAUUAAAUAAAAUACUGGACAUGCAAAAGAACAUUCUCUUCGGCAAUCUCAGUAUACCAGCCCCUCUGUGUAGUGAACGCUAUCACAUUUUCUUCUCACUUUUCUAGAUAACCAUCUAGAAAGGUGUUCAAUCUCUUGGGGGGUAAUCCAUAGUCCUCCAGGGUUAUUUCCAAAAGUCUUGUUGAUGUUAUCAGUGUUAACACAGAACCUCUUCUGAUUAGUGUUCAAUCUUACUGUGGAAUAGCUAUUUUCUCUCAAAUAUUAUUAGAAAAUUAGUAAAACUUAAAAAUGAGCAGGUUGGGCCAAUUUUACCCCUACUGUCCUACUGCUAUUCAAAGACCUAGCACUUCUGUACAUACAAGUACACUGCACUCAAAAUGAGAUUCUCUGUUUCUGCUUCUACUUAGGUUCCAAGGCAGGUAAUCAGUCUAACCAGAUGACAGGUGAGCAAUCUGAGGUGAAGCGACUUAUGACAUUUGACCCCCAUUAUUGUCUUGGAAAUACUUAAUGCUACGUAUUGGAAAGAAGGAAAACCUACUGGCUGUUGUAAACAAUUUCUAAUAACAUGGGAGAAAGAAGAAAAAAGCAGAGUGAAAUUUUAUAGGGUGGGGAAAACCUGGAGGAAACUUUCCUUUGAAAGCCAGGAGUCCAAACUGUAGAUAGGAUAGUACAGAACUUCAGCAAUCCCCAAGUGUUCUAGCGGAAUUUAAAACAGAGGAUGAAACUUGGAGAACUCUGGGCUAGGUAUGACCUGCAAAUAUACUUUUAAAAAUUCAAUUAAUAUUUAAAAAUCAGUAUUUUCACAUAAGAUAAUGACUAUUUUUUGUUUUGAAAAUUUUGGAAGCUCUGGCAGCAUUGGGCCUUUAUUUCUGCAUUGUCAGGAACUGGGUUAUGGGUGUUCCUUCUAGUUGAGGGGUGUUUGAGGUCCACUCUGUCAUCUACCUGGCCAGUCACAGCAAAGCUGGAUGUAGUUAAAUAUGGAAGGCACAACUGGACUAGGGGGAUUGGAUAAGUCCUUGAACAAGUACCUGAGGUAAAACAUCAUAAGUUAAAAGGAGGGGAUACUGGUGUGAGUUCUGUUUCUCAAAAAUGGGUGUUACGUUCUAAAAUUAAUGUUAAUUUGGGUUCCUUUUUUCCAAUUUCCCCACUCUCUGCCAUACUUUAUUCUCUGACUUAGCAUUAGACCUAGAUAAGUUAGUUAAUAUUCCUGUACUUUUGGUGCCUCAUACACAAAAUGGGAACAAUUAUAACUACCUCCUAAGGUUUCAGUAAGACCGAAUAAGACAAUGGAUAACAAUGACACCACACAAUGCCUGAAGCAUAAUAAACACUUAAAUGUUGGUUGGUAUUAUGAUUGGUAUUCUUUAAAAAGUGCUAUUACUUGCCAUUAUUGACUUCUGAAAUUGGAGUGUUCAAACAAACAAGAUGUUGAGAGGCUCAGGCAACCAGUAUGGUUGGAAAUAAUAAGAAAGUUAGUUAACUACCGUGAUACUACACUAACCCUUGAAAAAAUGUGUGGUGUUUUAAGAAAUUGCUUGCUAAAUUUCUGUUUGGCUUCAGCAAAACCUCAGGUUCCAUUCUUGGAGUAUGAAAGAGGCAGUUAAGGCAAGAAAAGUACAUUUAGAAGUUUAAAGAAUGCAAGUGUCCUAUGGGUUGAGAAAUGAGAUUAAUCCUUCCUUGACUAGUGCUCUUUUUACUGGCAGGAUACAUUCUUUAGGAAAAGGAGUUAUGCUGGCUGUGGAAGUAAAUAAUUACAGGUGCUCUCUUAUUUAUUUUCUAUUUAUUUUUCAACCCCAGGUCCAUUUUAUUCUCAAAUGUAACUUCUUUGCUUAGUCAACUUGGUUUUUGGUAAAAUUGUUCUUAAAGCAUUCAGUUUACAUAAUUAAAUAUGGUUGUGUGGUUACCUUUUACAUCCCAACCUAAGGACCUCCAUAUAGCCAGGUGUGGCUCACGCCUCUAAU